rnacentral:rRNA from 1 species
ACGAACGCUGGCGGCAUGCCUCACACAUGCAAGUCGAACGAGACCUUCGGGUCUAGUGGCGCACGGGUGCGUAACGCGUGGGAACCUGCCCUUAGGUUCGGAAUAACUCCCCGAAAGGGGUGCUAAUACCGGAUAAUGUCUUCGGACCAAGAUUUAUCGCCUUUGGAUGGGCCCGCGUUGGAUUAGCUAGUUGGUAGGGUAAAAGCCUACCAAGGCGACGAUCCAUAGCUGGUCUGAGAGGAUGAUCAGCCACACUGGGACUGAGACACGGCCCAGACUCCUACGGGAGGCAGCAGUGGGGAAUAUUGGACAAUGGGCGAAAGCCUGAUCCAGCAAUGCCGCGUGAGUGAUGAAGGCCUUAGGGUUGUAAAGCUCUUUUACCCGGGAUGAUAAUGACAGUACCGGGAGAAUAAGCUCCGGCUAACUCCGUG